CACGAGUAAGCCUAGUGUUAUUCAUCUUUAUUAGGUUUAAAGGGUACCUAGACAGUUUAUAAAGUCAAAUAUGUCUUUAAAAUAAACUAGAGUUUUAUAUAAGAGGUGAAUAUAAGAAUUAUUAAUGGAGGGAUGAAAUCUGUUUAUAUUAAUAAGACUGAUAAAAGUGAAGACAAACCUUUUUGUAAAAACUGACGUUGAGGGACGAAGGCUCGGGUAAUAAAAAGG
rnacentral:rRNA from 1 species